rnacentral:rRNA from 1 species
UUGCGUAGGUGGCAUAGUAAGCGAGUAGUGAAAGCGUGUGGCUCAACCAUACAUCCAUUACUUGAACUGCUAAGCUUGAAGACGAGAGAGGUAGAUGGAAUUCCUGAUGUAGGGGUAAUAUCCGUAGAUAUCAGGAGGAACACCGAUGGCGUAAGCAGUCUACUGGCUCGUUCUUGACACUAAGGCCAAAGGCUGGGAGCAAGCA